GUAGGGAAUCUUCCACAAUGGACGCAAGUCUGAUGGAGCAACGCCGCGUGAGUGAAGAAGGUUUUCGGAUCGUAAAGCUCUGUUGUUGGUGAAGAAGGAUAGAGGCAGUAACUGGUCUUUAUUUGACGGUAAUCAACCAGAAAGUCACGGCUAACUACGUGCCAGCAGCCGCGGUAAUACGUAGGUGGCAAGCGUUGUCCGGAUUUAUUGGGCGUAAAGCGAGCGCAGGCGGAAUGAUAAGUCUGAUGUGAAAGCCCACGGCUCAACCGUGGAACUGCAUCGGAAACUGUCAUUCUUGAGUGCAGAAGAGGAGAGUGGAACUCCAUGUGUAGCGGUGGAAUGCGUAGAUAUAUGGAAGAACACCAGUGGCGAAGGCGGCUCUCUGGUCUGCAACUGACGCUGAGGCUCGAAAGCAUGGGUAGCGAACAGGAUUAGAAACCCUAGUAGUCC
rnacentral:rRNA from 1 species